rnacentral:rRNA from 1 species
GACAGAGGGUGCAAACGUUGUUCGGAAUUACUGGGCGUAAAGCGCGUGUAGGCGGUUAUGCAAGUCGGGUGUGGAAGCCCGGAGCUCAACUCCGGAAGUGCAUUCGAUACUGCGUAGCUAGAGUACUGGAGAGGAUGGUGGAACUCUCGGUGUAGAGGUGAAAUUCGUAGAUAUCGAGAAGAACACCGGUGGCGAAGGCGGCUUUCUGGGCCUUACCUGACGCUGAGACGCGAAAGCGUGGGGAGCGAACCGG